rnacentral:rRNA from 1 species
ACGAACCGAGCGAACGUUGUUCGGAAUCACUGGGCUUAAAGGGCGCGUAGGCGGGCUGUCAAGUCUGGGGUGAAAUCCCGCGGCUCAACCGUGGAACUGCCUCAGAUACUGACGGCCUCGAGGGAGGUAGGGGCGAGCGGAACUCUCAGUGGAGCGGUGAAAUGCGUUGAUAUUGGGAGGAACUCCGGUGGCGAAGGCGGCUCGCUGGACCUUUUCUGACGCUGAGGCGCGAUAUCCAGGGGAGCAAACGGGA